AUUGUUUUUUGGCCUUUUGGCUAAGAUCGAGUGUAGUAUCUGUUCUUAAUCAGUUUAAUAAAUAAAUCGGAAAGGGUGGAUUUCAUCCUGUCCACUAUCCAAUCACUC
ensembl:snRNA U2 U2 spliceosomal RNA